GAAAUGUCUGUUCCCAUACAAUCACUGAAGUUAAGCAACAUUGAGCCUGUCAAUACCUAGAUUUGUGACCACUUGGGAAUACCAGGUGCUGUAAG